GAUUACUUAGAGAGCAUCAAUCAUGCAAAACUUUAUGUUUCUCAAGUUCCUAGAACAGCAACUGAACCAGAUAUACGCCCCUUGUUUGAACAAUAUGGAAAUAUCAUUGAGGUUGUUAUGUUGAAGGAUAAGAGAACAGGUCUACAACAAGGAAACUGUUUCGUGAAAUAUUCAACAACACUCGAGGCUGACAGGGCUAUUGCAGCUCUAAACAAUCAGCAUAUUUUUCCAGGGGAGCUGGUGCCCAUUUCUGUUAAAUAUGCUGACAGUGAAAAGGAACGGCUUGGUAAAUUUCUGAUGUUUUAGGCUGCUGUGCUUCUUGGAAACCAUUUUGUCCUCCGCCUUGCUCAUGUUGUUGCGUCCAGUCCAAU